UUAGAAAAUUAAACAUGAAAGAAAGUUGUUAAAAAAAAAGAUGGCGGCUUCGCGACAACUGCAUUGCUCAGCGAAAAAAACUCCGUCUCGCUGCAGCUACAACCUCCACUUCAAUUCCGUAAAUGAUUAAACUUUAAACUUUUUAUCAAUCGCCGAGCCUAAUAAAAAUAAUACAUAACUAACUGCCGACGAAAUUCAUAACCCCAAAAACCUACCACUUGGGCUCAGAGCGGCGUAUAGCGGUGGCUUACGUUUUACAACCUUGUUGACUUCCUCUUCUCGCCUCCCACGAACUUAUAGACAAUUUAUAUUGGAUUGACAGCACCCGAUGAUGCCUAGAUUUGAAAAGGCCGAUUGAGACGUCACACUGCUGAAGCCCAAGCCGAAUCCGUGGAAAUCUUUAGAUAAGGUUGACAGUAACCAAUGCUAGGACUGACGCUUCCUUUCUUAUGCCACAUUAUCACCCUUUUAGAUUUCGCCACCAGACCUAACGGUAUUCGGCCAACUACAAGCUCUAGAAUUUUUUAUGAAAAUAUGGAAAGCGUAAAACGCAUUUGAAGAUUACUUUUAAAUUUACUUUUAUAAUUUCUAAUAUAUAUAAAUCUCGUGUCACAAUGUUUGUCCUCAAUGGACUCCUAAACCACUCAACCGAUUACAAUAAAAUUCGCACACCAUGUGCAGUUCGAUCCAACUUGAGAGAUAGGAUAGUUUAAAUCUCAAAUUAUAGUCACAAUUAUCUGUUAACUCCAAAUGAUUCUAAGUUAGAAUUUCUAACAGAUGUCGAUACCUUUCGACUGGGUUGAGUAAGUAAUCAAUAGAUGGCGCUGCUAUUGAAAUCAGCGAACGUGUCAUAUAAGCUACAUUUUAACAGCAUAAUUAUCACGUAUUGUUGACGCUAUAAAAUUAAUUAAAUUCAGGCACAAGAAUAUCAAGAACAGUCUAACGAACGUCUUCAAGAGAAUAUCAUGAGAACAUGAGCAGCAGGAGAACGAGACAUAGCCACAGUAGGAGUACAGGAACAAUAAUUUCAAUUUAUACACUCAAAAAUGCCACCGAAAAGAUCUAACCUCAACAACGCGAGCAGCAAAGGGUCACGACGCAAACGUGUUGAAAGAGCUCAGCAAAUACCAGAACAAAUCGAAACAAGAAAUGCAGCUCAAAGAAUCAGGACUGCAGAAAGUCGUGCACAAGAAUCUCAAGAACGGCGUGACGAACGUCUGCAACAGAAUAUUACGAGAACAAGAGCGGGACGAGAACGAAACAUAGCUACAGUAUGAGUACUAGGUCGACAAAGGCAACGAAUCAGCCGCUCAUUAACACGUGCAUCAUUCGUUCGGCUUGCCUUUGAAUAUGCACCAGAUAUUAACUACUCAGCGCAUUCAAAAAUUGACGUCAUUUGGGGCAACUAAAAUUUGCGAUCGUGCAUCCGAUGGACGUAAUUUUGAAACUACAUUCAAAAUUCAAGGCCAGGUGUACCAUAAAAUCGGAUCCUUGAUGCCAAUGCCUGAUAACAAUCCGAAAGUUCUUCAAAUUUAUUUUAUGGGCGAUCAUGAAGAGCGCGUGACGACUCGGUGCCUGUAUAAUUUUAUUGAACAAGCAGACGGAAGAGCAAUUGUGAUAUUAUUGGAAAAUUUUUUAGAAGAUCACAAUCAACUAAUUCAAUUGAUCAAAAGAGUUUCGCCACGACUGCAAAAUGACAAUUAUCAAAUCGUCAUAAAAGCCGACAAAGUACCAUUAGGUGAACAUGCUGGUAGAUUCAACGCUCCAACUGUUGAUGAGGUGCUGUUAUCAUGGUUGGUGAUCCAGUUGACAAAAGAUCUAUAAAAAUUACACGGCGAGACAACACUGUCGGUACGAUUUCGGAUCUACACCGUUCAUAUGACGCACUACAGUAUCCAUUGAUAUUUUGGCAAGGACAAGAUGAAUAUCACCUUAAUAUAAAACAGUAUGAUCCAAAUACCGGUGAUUACAGUAAUAAAAAAGUUAGCUCAAUGAACUACUACGCACACCGAAUAAUGUGUAACGGAUUGCUACUCGGCUUGGGUGGUGAUGGGAGGUAUUUGGGACGCACGCGCAAUGGUCCAGCUGCUCCUUGUCGGCUAUUUGGGGUGGUGGUCUUGUCCCUAUACCUCAGCCUGAUCUUCCUCUAAAUAUUCAAAUAACUUCGCGUGCAGCGACAAGAAUUGGUUGAGGGCUGUAAGAGUUCAACAUAAAACAGAAAAUCGGACGACAACUACUUUUCCCCAUCUUCCUUGCGAUCCUCUGAUGGCCUCGAGGUCGCUAAUGCCCGCCCUGCCUUGGCCGCCUUUCUCCAAAAAUCUGCAUUGCACAAUAUACUCGGACGGCCCCUUUUAAGAUCACUAACACAUAUUCACACGGGAGUUAUCCUAGCCAUAGGCAAACGAAAAGCUUUCUAGCACAUUAUAAAUUUUAUUCGUAACACACUAAGAGAAUUUUCUUACAGCUAACAAAUGGGUAAUUCAGCAUGGAGGCUAGCAACAAGUGCAUGCGCCAGUAACAAAA